GACGAACGCUGGCGGCGUGCUUAACACAUGCAAGUCGAACGGAAAGGCCCUGCUUUUGUGGGGUGCUCGAGUGGCGAACGGGUGAGUAACACGUGAGUAACCUGCCCUUGACUUUGGGAUAACUUCAGGAAACUGGGGCUAAUACCGGAUAGGAGCUCCUGCUGCAUGGUGGGGGUUGGAAAGUUUCGGCGGUUGGGGAUGGACUCGCGGCUUAUCAGCUUGUUGGUGGGGUAGUGGCUUACCAAGGCUUUGACGGGUAGCCGGCCUGAGAGGGUGACCGGCCACAUUGGGACUGAGAUACGGCCCAGACGCCUACGGGAGGCAGCAGUGGGGAGUAUUGCACAAUGGGCGGAAGCCUGAUGCAGCGACGCCGCGUGCGGGAUGACGGCCUUCGGGUUGUAAACCGCUUUCGCCUGUGACGAAGCGUGAGUGACGGUAAUGGGUAAAGAAGCACCGGCUAACUACGUG
rnacentral:rRNA from 1 species